UUAUACUGACAGCUGAAGUCCAUCAGUAUUGCUGCACUAAUGUACCAGUUGACCUGACUACUGACAGCUGAAGUCCAUCAGUAUUGCUGCACUAAUGUACCAGUUGACCUGACUACUGACAGCUAAAGUCCAUCAGUAUUGCUGCACUAAUGUACCAGUUGACCUGACUACUGACAGCUCAAGUCCAUCAGUAUUGCUGCACUAAUGUUCCAGUUGACCUGACUACUGACAGCUAAAAUCCAUCAAAAUCGCUGCUAUUACUCAAAAGAUUAAAGAGCAAAAAGGUUAAAUUCCCACAAAGCCAGAGAGUGCAAAUUAUAUGAAACUAAAAAGAAUAAAUGAAAAUCUAAUCUAACACUUAAACAACACGAAAGUGCACCUUUAAAAUCUAAGCAUUUGAAAAACAAUUUUGUAAAACAGUUUCAAUGAAUUGUUAAAAUAACCCA